rnacentral:rRNA from 1 species
AUUGAACGCUGGCGGCAGGCCUAACACAUGCAAGUCGAACGCGUGGCGGACGGGUGAGUAAUGUCUGGGAAACUGCCCGAAGGAGGGGGAUAACUACUGGAAACGGUAGCUAAUACCGCAUACCAUCGGAUGUGCCCAGAUGGGAUUAGCUAGUAGGUGGGGUAAAGGCUCACCUAGGCGACGAUCCCUAGCUGGUAUGAGAGGGUGACCAGCCACACUGGAACGGAGACACGGUCCAGACUCCUACGGGAGGCAGCAGUGGGGAAUAUUGCACAAUGGGCGCAAGCCUGAUACAGCCAUGCUGCGUGUAUGAAGAAGGCCUUCGGGUUGUAAAGUACUUUCAGCGGGGAGGCGUUACUCGCAGAAGAAGCACCGGCUAACUCCGUGCCAGCCGCCGCGGUAAUUC